ACGAUGCGUAGCCGACCUGAGAGGGUGAUCGGCCACACUGGGACUGAGACACGGCCCAGACUCCUACGGGAGGCAGCAGUAGGGAAUCUUCCGCAAUGGACGAAAGUCUGACGGAGCAACGCCGCGUGAGUGAUGAAGGUUUUCGGAUCGUAAAGCUCUGUUGUUAGGGAAGAACAAGUACCGUUCGAAUAGGGCGGUACCUUGACGGUACCUAACCAGAAAGCCACGGCUAACUACGUGCCAGCAGCCGCGGUAAUACGUAGGUGGCAAGCGUUGUCCGGAAUUAUUGGGCGUAAAGGGCUCGCAGGCGGUUUCUUAAGUCUGAUGUGAAAGCCCCCGGCUCAACCGGGGAGGGUCAUUGGAAACUGGGGAACUUGAGUGCAGAAGAGGAGAGUGGAAUUCCACGUGUAGCGGUGAAAUGCGUAGAGAUGUGGAGGAACACCAGUGGCGAAGGCGACUCUCUGGUCUGUAACUGACGCUGAGGAGCGAAAGCGUGGGGAGCGAACAGGAUUAGAUACCCUGGUAGUCCACGCCGUAAACGAUGAGUGCUAAGUGUUAGGGGGUUUCCGCCCCUUAGUGCUC
rnacentral:rRNA from 2 species